rnacentral:rRNA from 1 species
GGGGUGCUCGGGUGGCGAACGGGUGAGUAACACGUGAGUAACCUGCCCUUGACUUUGGGAUAACUUCAGGAAACUGGGGCUAAUACCGGAUAGGAGCUCCUGCUGCAUGGUGGGGGUUGGAAAGUUUCGGCGGUUGGGGUUGGACUCGCGGCUUAUCAGCUUGUUGGUGGGGUAGUGGCUUACCAAGGCUUUGACGGGUAGCCGGCCUGAGAGGGUGACCGGCCACAUUGGGACUGAGAUACGGCCCAG